GACGAACGCUGGCGGCGUGCUUAACACAUGCAAGUCGAACGGAAAGGCCCUGCUUUUUUGGGGUGCUCGAGUGGCGAUCGGGUGAGUAACACGUGUGUAACCUGCCCUUGACUUUGGUAUAACUUCAGGUAACUGGGGUUACUACCGUAUAGGAGCUCCUGUUGCAUUGUGGGGGUUGGAUAGUUGCGGCUGUCGGGGUUGGACGCGCGGGUUACCAGCUUGUUGGUUGGGUAGUUGCUUACCAAGGCUUUGACGGGUAGCCGGCUUGUGAGGGUGACCGGCCACAUGGGGACUGAGAUACGGCGCAGACUUCUACGGUAGGCAGCAGUGGGGAAUAUUGCACAAUGGGCGGAAGCCUGAUGAAGCAACGCCGCGUGCGGGAUGACGGCCUUCGGGUUGUGAACCGCUUUCGCCUGUGACGAAGCGUGAGUGACGGUAAUGGGUAAAGAAGCACCGGCUAACUACGUG
rnacentral:rRNA from 1 species